UAAGUUUACGCAAAUACAACUCUGAGCGAUAUGCAUUUGCUUUGCUAAAACUGAUYAGCUGCUUUCUAUUUACAUCAGUUUGCUUUUGUGUUAUGGUUGAAUUUGUGUUUAAAUUAGAAUUUCUUUCAAUUUACUUUUUCGAGGGUUUUUGGAUUAAUGUUAUAGAGGCAAAAGGAAAGCGGGUGCGUUCCAACCCAACAAGAAAGUGGCUAUGAUUUGCAAAAGUGAAAAACAUUGCAGUGCACUGGAAGGUGACAAGGAAUGUUCGGUAUAUGCGUAUAACAUAUAACAAAGUAGUUGCAUGUUAGGGCUCGACGGCUGCAGGGAGUAUGGAAGGCGAAACUAUAAAGUGUAAGAUUUUUCCAAACGUUCAUUUUCAUUUGGUCAAAACAGAAACUUCUCUUUUAACCGCUAUAUUGCUUUAAAUACACGCCUAUUUAUAUUUUGAAUAGUCACAUACACUCACACCAAAAGGAUGCGACCUUUCGUAUAUAAACAAUCCAUGCCCGGAAGAUCUCAAAAUAAAUAGCACUAUUUUUAAUUGUAAAUCUAAAGGAAGUUGUGCUCCACUAGAAUUUGUGUUAAAUACACUGUCGUUCUUUAUAUAAUUUAAUAUGYGGMGAAAUUCGCCGAGCYAAGUCGAUGAACACGAACCAUUUCAUUGAAGCGGCUGUCAUAAAUGUUCCUAAGUACAUUAYGUCGCCAUUAUCUUAAAAUUUUCACUUCUCCUUGACA